rnacentral:rRNA from 1 species
UAAGGAAUAUUGGUCAAUGGACGCAAGUCUGAACCAGCCACGCCGCGUGGAGGAUGAAGGUCCUCUGGAUUGUAAACUUCUUUUAUCUGGGACGAAACACUUCUUUUCUAAGAGGCCUGACGGUACCAGAUGAAUAAGCACCGGCUAACUCCGUGCCAGCAGCCGCGGUAAUACGGAGGGUGCAAGCGUUAUCCGGAUUCACUGGGUUUAAAGGGUGCGUAGGUGGGUAUGUAAGUCAGUGGUGAAAUCCCCGAGCUUAACUUGGGAACUGCCAUUGAUACUAUAUAUCUUGAAUACCGUAGAGNUAAGCGGAAUAUGUCAUGUAGCGGUGAAAUGCUUAGAUAUGACAUGGAACACCAAUUGCGAAGGCAGCUUACUAUGCGGUGAUUGACACUGAGGCACGAAAGCGUGGGUAGCAAACA